GUUUGAUCCUGGCUCAGAAUCAACGCUGGCGGCGUGCCUAACACAUGCAAGUCGAACGAGAAAGGGUAGCAAUACCUGAGUAAAGUGGCGCACGGGUGAGUAACACGUGACUAACCUACCCUGGAGUGGGGGAUAACUGAGGGAAACCUUAGCUAAUACCGCAUAAUACCUACGGGUCAAAGGAGCAAUUCGCUUCAGGAGGGGGUCGCGGCCGAUUAGUUAGUUGGCGGGGUAAUGGCCCACCAAGACGAUGAUCGGUAUCCGGCCUGAGAGGGCGCACGGACACACUGGAACUGAAACACGGUCCAGACUCCUACGGGAGGCAGCAGUGGGGAAUUUUGCGCAAUGGGGGAAACCCUGACGCAGCAACGCCGCGUGGAGGAUGAAGUACUUCGGUACGUAAACUCCUUUCGAUCGGGACGAUAAUGACGGUACCGAGAGAAGAAGCCCCGGCUAACUUCGUGCCAGCAGCCGCGGUAAUACGAGGGGGGCGAGCGCUGUUCGGAAUUAUUGGGCGUAAAGGGUGCGUAGGCGGUUUGGUAAGUCUUAUGUGAAAUCUACAGGCUCAACUUGUAGUCUGCAUGAGAAACUGCCGGGCUUGAGUAUGGGAGAGGUGAGUGGAAUUUCCGGUGUAGCGGUGAAAUGCGUAGAUAUCGGAAGGAACACCU
rnacentral:rRNA from 1 species